rnacentral:rRNA from 1 species
AUUGAACGCUGGCGGCGUGCCUAACACAUGCAAGUCGAGCGGUAACAGGUGUAGCAAUACAUGCUGACGAGCGGCGAACGGGUGAGUAAUGCUUUGGAAUCUUCCCAGUAGUGGGGAAUAACCAGUCGAAAGAUUGGCUAAUACCGCAUACGUCUGUAAAGGGAAAGCGGGGGACUCGCCUCUUCUUCGGAAGAGAGGCCUCGCGCUAUUGGAUGAGCCAAAGUCGGAUUAGCUAGUUGGUGGGGUAAUGGCCCACCAAGGCGACAAUCCGUAGCUGGUCUGAGAGGACGACCAGCCACACCGGAACUGAGACACGGUCCGGACUCCUACGGGAGGCAGCAGUGGGGAAUAUUGGACAAUGGGGGAAACCCUGAUCCAGCGACGCCGCGUGUGUGAAGAAGGCCUGCGGGUUGUAAAAGCACUUUUAGUGGGACAAAAAGCUACGGAUUAAUACUUCGUGGUCUUGAUUUAACCCAAAGAAAAGCACCGGCUAACUCUGUGCCAGCAGCCGCGGUAA